rnacentral:lncRNA from 1 species
GUUUCUUUGAAAACUUUGAAAAGAAAAUAUGGUUCAGAAAAGGAGAUGACAACUCCUUGCCUGUGAUUGCCCUGAAGAACUUCCAGUGGGAGAAAACAUGGAGGUGGAUGGAAGAUAAUAAUAUUGAUGACCCUGAUGCUGUUUCAGGCCUAGGCUAAUGUGUGUGCUGUGGCUUCAUUUUUAAUAAAAAGUUUAAAAAGUAUUAAAAAAACUAAAAAUAGUAAAAAUUGUAGGCUAACAAUAUAAAGAAAUAAGCUCACAAUGUAAUUCCAUUUUAAGCCAAAAGUUUUUACAGAGUCAAAAAGUUAAAAAUUGGAAAAGUUUAUAAGGUAAAAACAUUACAGUAAGCUAAGAUUAUAUUAUUGAAGAAAAAGCUUGUUUAAUAAGUGUGGUGUAAUCUAAGUGUAAAGUGCCUGUAAAGCCUACGAUCUGGGAUAGGAACGUCCUGGGGCUUCACAUCACUCACCACUUACUCACUGACUCACCCAGAGCAACUUCUAAUCCUGCCAGCUCCACUCAUGUUUUCCCAACAGAAAUGACUUCCCACUUUUCUCCAUCCUGCAAAUCAUUUGAAAGCUCCUACUCAAGUUGCAUCUGCGUUGAACAGUCUGUGCCAUGCCAGGCCUCUUUGUUUUAUGGAUUCAUAAGAUAUAUGUCAUAUUUUCAUUCUGACCACCCUCCACACUUCAACUGGAUAUCCACAGAGCCUCCCCCUCAAGCUGCCAGUGAAGUGAAUGCAGUCACCGUUAUCAGCAAUGCUUUGUACAAGCAACUCACAAACCCUGCUAUGAUGGAUUUACUGCAGUAG